rnacentral:lncRNA from 1 species
GGGGGAGAAAGGGUUACAGGCUUUGUCUUUGAGGAGGAAUAUGUUGAAAUUCCUCCAAUUGCCAUUGACAAUGAUCAGGUUUCUAUCCCUGAUAUUGUUCAAGAAGCAACUCUGGAUCAAGACAAUGUCAUACCUCCCUCUCAAGAUCAACAAAUUGUUCCAGAAGAACAAACUCUACACCCUCAAGAACCAAUGCCAUUAAGAAGAUCCACUAGAGAGAGGAGAAGUGCGGUUUCGAAUGAUUACAUCGUAUUUCUUCAAGAACAUGAAGUUGACAUUGGAAUGGUGGAAGAUGAUCCGAUCAACUUCCGUCAAGCCAUGGAAAGUUCUAACUCUCAAAAGUGGCUCGAUGCUAUGAAUGAAGAGAUAAAGUCCAUGAAGGACAAUGACGUAUGGGACCUCGUUCCAUUGCCUGAAGGUGCGAAACCCAUUGGUUGCAAAUGGAUAUUUAAGACCAAGAGGGAUUCGAAAGGUGAUGUAGAGAGGUAUAAGGCUCGUCUUGUCGCAAAAGGCUUUACACAGAAAGAAGGCAUCGAUUAUAAAGAGACUUUCUCUCCGGUUUCUUCGAAAGACUCUUUCAGGACUAUAAUGGCAUUGGUAGCGCAUUUCGAUCU